CAACGUUUUGUGGCAAAGUGAAUGACACGUCUUUUUCUCUCUUGGAGAUUAUUUCUUUCUUUUAUUUUUGUUCUUGAGUUUCUGUCUAAUGUCACUCAUCUUUUCCCUUUCAGCAAGGAAGAGCAUAUUCUCUGGAGUUACACUCCAUGAAGCUGUGUUAAAUCCAGCUGAGGCUUUCCUCUCUUAACUGUGAUACGAUCACUCACAUUAUUCGUAUGUGUGUGAGUUGUUCUGGAAUAACUUUUUUGCUGACAAUGGUGUUUUGUUUCCAUGGCAACUGCUCGGACCCGUUCCCUUUGCCACUGAGGAGAUGAGGCAAGGUGCAGCUGAGGGCAUUUCUGAGUGACCACGGUUGUCAUGUGACACUGAGAAGACUUGGCUCCACUUGGCUCAUCUCCGUCCUCCUCUCUGAUCCCAUGAGCACAUGUCUGUCUCCAUGGAGAGCCCUUUCUACAGUCACCAGAGUGCGACACGCCUGAAGGCGACAAGCUGAGAACAACACAGUCUCCAUCUACACCAGAGAG